rnacentral:lncRNA from 1 species
GCCAGGGCCUCUGUCUGUGUGGGGUCUGCAUGCUUUCCCCAGGCCUGCCUGGGUUUGCUCCAGGUCCUCUGAUUUCCUCCCACAUCCAGAUGUGCCUGUUAGGUUCAUCAGCACAUCUACACAGUCCCAGUGUGAGUGAGAGUGGUGUGGGUGUGAGUGCGCCCUGUGAUGGGAUGGCAUCCUGUCCGGGGCAUUUUCCUGCCUGGCAUCCUGAGCUGCAGGGAUAGGCUCUGGCCACCUGCAACCCUGAACUGGAAUAAUUGGCUCUUCUUGGAUCCACUGAUCUACUUUCUAUCACUACAGAUGAGUCGGCUUUUUCUAGAAGUUUACAUAUGUAUGUAAUCAAUGCCUCAGGUAGCUUCCUCGUAUACCUGUGCUGAACAGUGCUGUCCUGAACACUCGUGAGGGCUCUUCUGCAGGUCUAGGGAGCUGUUUCUCCAUGCAGCUCUCUCCUCUCCUAUCCGCUGCCCUGGGAACUCUAGUCUGGUCUCCACGGACUCUCCACAAAAAUCUCCAUCCCUUCCACUUGUGCUCUCCGUUCCUGCCCUGUGGUCUGGAAACUCUCAAAGCAAUAAACGAGAGCACUCAAAGGACACACCUCAUUUGCUUCUCAUUUCUAAGAGCUCACAUUCCUUCAUUGCCUGAUGUGCAGUGUCUUGAAACCUGUUUCAUAUAUUUUAUCAAGUUUUUUUUUAGUUGUUUUUCAGGUGGGAGAGUAAAUUGGUCCCUAUCACUCUAUCUCAGAAGCCGAAGUCUCCAUAGUUUACUUAAAAGUGUGUAAACUUCCAAGUAUAUGGAAUUGUCCAGAUACCUUUCUAUUAUUGGUUCCUAGUUUAAUUACCUUUUGGUCUCUGAACACCUUCUGUGGUUUCCUUUAUUUUAAAUUGCUAAGGUUUAAAAGUUUGUUUUGUGGCCCACUUUAUGGAAUAUUGUCUAUCUUGGUGAACUUUCCAUGUACAUUGCAAAGAAUGUAUAUUCUGCUGUUGUUGGCUGGACUGUUCUGUAAAUCUCAGCGUAUUAGUCAGGGUUAUCCAGAGAAACAGAACCAAUAGGAGAUAUUUAUAUACAUAGUUGGAUCACAUAACUGUGGGGCUGACAUGUCUGAAAUUCACAGGGCAGGCUGCAGGCUGGAAGUUCUGGCAAGAGCUGAUAUUGUAGUUUGGGAGGCACAAUUCCUACCAGUUCCAGGGGCUUUCAACUAAUUGGAUAGGGCCCAUCUACAUUACGGAAGAUAAUUUGCUUUACCCAAAGUCUACUGGCUUAAAUGUUAAUCAAUCUAAGAUCUACCUUCAUAGCAAUAUCUACACUGGUAUUUGACCAACAUCUGGGUGUCAUCACCUAGCCGAAUAGACACAUAAAAUUAACCAUCACUGUUAGCGGUGGAAGACAUCCAAGUUAUCCAAAGUUACCUGUGGUGCAUCUGUGUGAGUUGGCAGCAACUCCAGUCCUUGCCUCCUCAGAAGAAAGAAUUUGACUGAGGGGCAUAAAGCAGAAGAAGAGACUGCCGCAAGUUUCAGGGCAGGAAUGAAAAUUUAUUAAAAGGCUUUAGAACAGUAAGGAAAGAAAAGAAGGAAAGUACAACUUGAAAGUACAAGAGGUCAAGCUGUGCACUUGGUUUCUCAAGGGCCAGGCAGGCAACUUGAGAAGUCAAGUGCAUAGCCUGACCUCUUGACUUGGGGUUCUAUAGGUUGGCAUAACUCCGGGAUCUUAUUGGGAAGCUGCUGAUCAGUUUCGAGUGUUUUCUACCUAUUAGGAGACUGCCUUUCUGUGGUGCCAGCCAUGACCAAUUAUUACUUUAGAGAAACGGUUAACAACCGCCUGACCAUCACCUGAUGGUUGCCCAACACUCCUGGUGUGUGUGUUGUGGGGAGCCCUCUCCUGCCUUGCUCCAGGCUACCUACUGUAACAUCACAGUCAGGUCCAGUUGGCCUAUGAUGUUCAUGACUGCUAAAUGCUUGCUAAUUUUGUCUUUUUGUCCUACCAAUUACUGAUAGAGAAGAGUCUCCAAAUAUAAUUGUGCUUUGAAUAUUUCUUCUUCAGCUUUAUUAAUUUUACCUCAUGUUUUUUGAACUUCUGUUUUAGGGACGUACACUGAGGACAUUUAUGGUUUUUGGUGAACUUACUCUUUCAUCAUUUUAUAAUGCUCCUCCCUCGUAAUUUUCCUUAUUCUGAAAUUUACUUUGAUCUUAAAAUUACGGUAGCAGUUUUCUUAUAAUUUGUGUUUGUAUCGUGUAUCUUUUUACAUCCUUUUAUUUUUAACCUAUUCAAAUCAUUGUAUUUAAAGUGAUUGUAUUGGAGAUAGCAUAUAAUUGAUUUUUGCCCCAAUCUGAUAAUUCCUGUAUUUUAAUAGGAGUUAUUUUUGAUGUAGUUAGAUUUAUGCCUACCAUUUUAUUGUUGGUUUUAUGUUUGUCUGCUCUGUUUUUUUGCUUUGUUUUGACUUUCUGUUGAAUUAUUGAAUAUAUUCAUUAUGACAUUAUA